rnacentral:tRNA from 1 species
AAUAGUAUAGUUUAGUAAAAUUCCAUCUUGCAAAGAUAGCGUCGCUUGUAAUGCUACUAUUU